rnacentral:rRNA from 1 species
GAUGAACGCUGGCGGCGUGCUUAACACAUGCAAGUCGAACGGAAAGGCCCAAGCUUGCUUGGGUACUCGAGUGGCGAACGGGUGAGUAACACGUGGGUGAUCUGCCCUGCACUUCGGGAUAAGCCUGGGAAACUGGGUCUAAUACCGGAUAGGACCACUUCUUGGAUGUUGUGGUGGAAAGUUUUUUCGGUGUGGGAUGAGCUCGCGGCCUAUCAGCUUGUUGGUGGGGUAAUGGCCUACCAAGGCGUCGACGGGUAGCCGGCCUGAAAGGGUGUACGGCCACAUUGGGACUGAGAUACGGCCCAGACUCCUACGGGAGGCAGCAGUGGGGAAUAUUGCACAAUGGGCGCAAGCCUGAUGCAGCGACGCCGCGUGGGGGAUGACGGCCUUCGGGUUGUAAACUCCUUUCGCUAGGGACGAAGCGUUUUGUGACGGUACCUGGAGAAGAAGCACCGGCUAACUACGUG